UCGCGGCUUAUCACCGGCAGUCCCUCUAGAGUGCCCAACUAAAUGAUGGCAACUAGAGGCGAGGGUUGCGCUCGUUGCGGGACUUAACCCAACAUCUCGCGACACGAGCUGACGACAGCCAUGCAGCACCUGUGUUCGAGUUCCCGAAGGCACCAAUCCAUCUCUGGAAAGUUCUCGACAUGUCAAGGCCAGGUAAGGUUCUUCGCGUUGCAUCGAAUUAAACCACAUACUCCACCGCUUGUGCGGGCCCCCGUCAAUUCCUUUGAGUUUCAGUCUUGCGACCGUACUUCCCAGGCGGCGAACUUAACGCGUUAGCUUCGAUACUGAGAGCCUAAUUGCUCCCAACAUCCAGUUCGCAUCGUUUAGGGCGUGGACUAC
rnacentral:misc_RNA from 1 species